UCUUAAAUCGAAUGGAACAGGCCAAGUCGAUUCCACUCAAUUCUGUUUUUUAUUUUGUGUUUGUGAAAUUUCAAAUGUCAAAUAUUGAUAUUAUUUUUUUUUUCAAACGAAAAAAAUAUAAAAAUUAAAAAUCUGAAGACGACGGAAGAAGAAAAUGUUAAAAAAAAAUCAUUCCACUGCAUUAAGUUUUUCAGUAACACAAUCAAAGCUAUUGUUUCAAAAAAUCUCUUAAAAUUAUUGAGGUUUUCAUUUUUAACAAAGCCAGAAGUUAAGAACUGUGCUACAAUGAGUAACAGUAAUUAAAAUAAACGGAAACCACUUUGAUUUAACUGUUUUUCGGUAUGAUUUUGAGUUGAAGACCAAAAUUUUAAAAUCAUGUAAGUUUUUUUCAAUGUUGAAUCAACGUUGACUUGAUAAAUUUUGCAGUUGAAUAUUUUUAUCAAAAUCGCAGGGACUGGUUGGAAAAAAUUACAUUUACUUCUGAAAAAUUCUUACAUGGAAGGAAGAACUUGCCUGGUGCGCUUCACUUAAAAAAACACUUUGGAGUUUGGAUGUAUCGAUGUUCCAAGAGGGAAGAUUUUUAGCAUCGUGGCAUCGAACCUUCGAUUCUUUUUCUAUUAUAUAUGUAUUUUCAUUUGAUAAUCAUACCUAAUUUAAUAUUUUAUUGUUAACUUUUAUCACAACUUUGAUGUUAUUACGAAUGCAUAACUUUAUAAAUAAAAUA